UGGGGAAUUUUGGACAAUGGGCGAAAGCCUGAUCCAGCAAUGCCGCGUGUGUGAAGAAGGCCUUCGGGUUGUAAAGCACUUUUGUCCGGAAAGAAAUGGCUCUGGUUAAUACCUGGGGUCGAUGACGGUACCGGAAGAAUAAGGACCGGCUAACUACGUGCCAGCAGCCGCGGUAAUACGUAGGGUCCAAGCGUUAAUCGGAAUUACUGGGCGUAAAGCGUGCGCAGGCGGUUGUGCAAGACCGAUGUGAAAUCCCCGAGCUUAACUUGGGAAUUGCAUUGGUGACUGCACGGCUAGAGUGUGUCAGAGGGGGGUAGAAUUCCACGUGUAGCAGUGAAAUGCGUAGAGAUGUGGAGGAAUACCGAUGGCGAAGGCAGCCCCCUGGGAUAACACUGACGCUCAUGCACAAAAGCGUGGGGAGCAAACAGGAUUAGAUACCCUGGUAGUCCACGCCCUAAACGAUGUCAACUAGUUGUUGGGGGAUUCAUUUCCUUAGUAACGUAGCUAACGCGUGAAGUUGGA
rnacentral:rRNA from 1 species